CCACUUGUGCCAAUGCAGACGGAUCUUACCUUUGGAGACCAAAUAGCGAAGCAGAAGCUUAUGCUGUCAGAGAUAAGUUUAAUCUUUCAACGCAAACGGAUAUAUGGACGGGUGCAAAUGAUCAUGAUUCAGACGGAAAUUUUGAAUUUGAAACUGACGUUGGUACAUUUUCAUUCGAUACUCCUCUAUUUGGAGAAGAAAACCUGUCCAGUACCAACUUGGCGAUAGUCAUACUCAUACCAAGAGACGAAUAUUUCUGAUGCAGAAUGAAAUAAAAUAAAUGAUCGAAAUUA